UGCAAAUACUAUUUUGGGUUUUCACAAGUUCUUCCCAGUUGAAGCUUUGGCGGAAAAAAAAUCUAUGGCCCUUUUUCUCUGCAAAUUGAUUCAGUCUCCCUUUCAUUGAUGGGGUGGUGCACAAUGUGCUUCACUUGUUGCUGGAAAGACCACCCUGUCAAUGCAAAAUGCAAUGGUAGUGGUGGCCGCAAUUAAGGUAUCAUGUCCAUGUGAAGUGAUACAAUUCAUGAUUUUAAACCUUGGAUCACAUUCACAGUUGUGGAAUCGUGUUGGAUGAAGGAACUUGAGUAAGAUUUACAGUGGCAGAACAUGAAAUAUCCUUCUGAAACUUUUGAAGACACAAUAUCAUGUUCGAGAAGUAGGAUCUUAUCUUCUUCAAUUGGAAAUGGUUCAAACUUGCUUUUAUUAAUGGAAAUAAUUGAUUCAUAUUCUUGCAGUAGUCCUUCAGGAACAACAUCCAUGUGUUCUUGAAGCAAAACCGGGUCUUUAAUAGAGGCGGGACAAUCAACAAGGGCUUUGAUGCAGAGAAGAAAAUCUGACAUAGAUCAAUCUUCAAGAAUCAUCUAUCUAAGCUCAAUGCAAAGCUGCAUCACUCCUGGUCUUGUUUAUCUGUGAAAAUAUUCAUGGAUCUUAUCCCAUUCUUGAGAGGAAUGAACACAUCCAUGUAUGUGAGAGACAAUGUAUGCUGGAUUAAUACUUACCAGAAUCACAAUUGGCUUUGACGAGAAAAUGAAGCAGAAUAAUAGGAUUCACUACUACACAUAACUGUGCUAACAGACGCAAUCACUUUUGUACUGUUCAGUCUAUAAUACACAAAUAUAUUUUCUCUCCAAUAUUGUAUCAAUUAUAUAGGUGUUAUAGCAAAAGUAGCUAGUGCAGGGAUCCUCAGCAAAAGAUGAUCUACAAUCUCUCCUGGUGCUGCAGUUAAAGUCUCAUAAGGAAGUACAUCUAUUGCUUCUUACUGAACCAUUUCAUGAGGUUUACUUCCCACUACCUUUGUUCUAUCAACAGGUGGAGAAUCUUAAAGACAUUGGGAGACUGCAAUGGAGACUGCAAUAAGUGCCUUCUAUCUCAAUGAUUUCAUUGGAAGCUGAGGAUUUGGCAAUUCGUUUUCUUCAUGGAUACACAGCAGUUCCUGUGUGAAAAGGCAUUUCUGAUAUUCUCAAUUUGUGGUUAUUUAGUGUAUCUUUUUGGAAACGUGGAAUGAAAUGUUCCAAUCGUUAUUGGUCAUUGGUUGCCUCUUCAGUUCAUUCAGAUUGAGCAGCUCAGCUAGCUUCUUUGUACUGUUUUGUUAAUGUUCUUUUUAGGAGGUAUCUUUUGCUAGAUCUUCAGCAACGUUGACAUGCAGGGUUGCAUGUUCCUUUGUUAGCAAUUUUUGCAUUUUGGUAUGUUUCCUGUGGAUU